GAUGAGAACGUAGCGAAAUGCAAUAAGUAAUGUGAAUUGCAGAAUUCAGUGAAUCAUCGAAUCUUUGAACGCACAUUGCGCCCGCCAGUAUUCUGGCGGGCAUGCCUGUUCGAGCGUCAUUACAACCCUCAGGCCCCCGGGCCUGGCGUUGGGGAUCGGCGGAAGCCCCCUGCGGGCACAACGCCGUCCCCCAAAUACAGUGGCGGUCCCGCCGCAGCUUCCAUUGCGUAGUAGCUAACACCUCGCAACUGGAGAGCGGCGCGGCCACGCCGUAAAACACCCAACUUCUGAAUGUUGACCUCGAAUCAGGUAGGAAUACCCGCUGAACUUAAGCAUAUCAAUAGCGGAGA
rnacentral:misc_RNA from 1 species